rnacentral:tRNA from 1 species
UCCCCUGUGGCUCAGUUGGUAGAGCAUGGUGUUUGCAAUGCCAGGGUUGUGGGUUCGAUUCCCACGGGGGGCC